UACGUAGGUGGCAAGCGUUAUCCGGAAUCAUUGGGCGUAAAGAGUGUGUAGGCGGUUUUUUAAGUCAGUUGUAAAAUCUGUGGGCUCAACUCACAUCAUGCAUCUGAAACUGAAAAACUUGAGUCUGGAAGAGGUAAGCGGAAUUUAUGGUGUAGCGGUGAAAUGCUUAGAUAUCAUAAGGAACACCAAUGGCGAAGGCAGCUUACUGGGACAGUACUGACGCUGAGACACGAAAGCGUGGGGAGCGAAC
rnacentral:rRNA from 1 species